GGGUACCAAAGUCCACUCUGAGCUUUUCCUCUGGGAACAGAUCCCAGAUUAUUCCAGACUUAAGACAUGGAGAUAUAUCUUGCUAGAGGUAGGAAGAUGAUAAGAUCAGUUUCUAUAGGUAGAGGAUAAUGUGUCCUAAAAUGUAGGUAGAGAUAAGUCUGACAGUGGUUUAGACAAAAAGGGCCUCUGCUAAUGGUGGAGAGAUCAAGGAAGAAAAGAGCAACGUUAAAGUGAGGCUGUACCCACAGAUCAUGCUCAAGCAAAUUCGAACCUGUAAGAUGAAAGAGGACCUGCCCUCCAUUCUAUCUACUCCCUCUCUGCAAAGGCCAUUUUGAAGAUCUCAGUUUUACUGAAAGGGGUCUGCCACACAUAACUUCCCUGGUGUACCAGCAACAAGUGUUCAGUGGACCAUGGCAACACAAAGAAUGACGGAGGAGAGAAAAUGCCAUGCAGAAGUGAUAGUCAAGAUGAAGAUGUGGGAGAGGAGCAGCCCCCAGUAUAUAUUCAGUGUGUCCUCUGAAGUAACAACCAUCCCAUCUGGCUGAGAAGUGAUGGACACGGCUCCUUAACCACACUGUACCCUCUGUUCUUGGCACCUCUCUACCAGAAAGAUAUCAACAAAUUGGAUGGAAUUCAGAGAACAGUAAGAAAAAUGAUUAAAGAGAUGGAGGCAGUGACUUAUGAGGAAAGAUGAAAAGGACUAAAUCUAUGUAGCUUGGCAAAGCAACAACUGAGGUGGCGUAUGAAAACUGUCUACAAGCAUUUGAAGAAUAUAAACACCAAGGGAAGAGAGGGAACUUUUUAGAAUGGUCUGGGGAAUAAGCAGAGUAAGAGGACAGAAUUGAAGAAAGGAGAGAGAUAUGCUAAGUUGGGGGUGGGGGCGUUUUCUCAUCAAUUGUAAAUUUUGAUAAAUAACAAAAUUAAGUCUGGAGAGAAAGAGUUGCAUCUCAUGCUUUUAGGUUACAAUCAGUGUUGACCUGCACUGAGAAAAUGUGACUUCCUAUUAUCCUUCUCAAAGUUAUUGCUGCAGAGGAAAGAAGCAUACAUCUUUUACCCACCAGGAAACCCCCAAAGCAUCUAUUACCAUAAUAGCCAUGGGAAACAGAAGGCACCUCAAAUAAAGGUGGGGAAAAGAAUGAAAGAAAUGGCUUUGGCCUGUGCCUGUUUGACCUCUGAGAGAUACUUUUUGCAAGAAAUUGUUAAGUUUUGGCCCAAAAAGUGGUCGGUCUUUUAUCCUUCCUUGUGGAGGCCAAACUGCAAACCAGGAUGAAGAAACCAUCAGUGGCAGUUUGGGGAGGUGGAGGAGGGACUAUCUAGACUCAGUGAAUCACCAAGGAAACAUGAGGCCUAUUUCUCUGUGAAGCUGAACUUCAAAAAACAAUCUAAGAGAUACAAAGGGAAAAGUGUGACUGCUCUGACAGCAAAAACAAGCAAAUAUCUCCAGAGGGGAUUAAUCCUUCUGCUUCAAAGUAACUAAAACAAAGAAAGCUGAGCCAGCUUCACUGGAAACAACACCUGUCCAUCAGACAAGGAUGAGCUAAUCAAAAGAAAACACUGCCUAUGUGCACGACUCAGCAGCCUGGACAGCUAAUACCAAGGAACACGUUUUCACUAUAAAGAUUCAGCUUUCAAAAUCCAGUUCCCUCUUGUAGAGCCACAGGGUUAAAAGGGACCUUAGAGAUCAUCUACAUACAGGCCAAACCCUCAAUGAAUGCCAGUGUUCGCCUUAUGUUCUUCUUGCCGGACUCUUUUCUGGCCUCUGUUCUGUCAGGAUGUUUCCUGUUUUGCAAAACAGCUUUAAUCCUUGAGUAUAUUUAAUUGUUAGAAAACAGUUCCUCAAAUUUGACCCCAAAUUUAAGUCUAAUUUAUGAAGAAAGUUUUGCCUUUGGAGACAGGUUUAAUUUUACUUCCAUGUG
rnacentral:lncRNA from 1 species